ACUCCCUCACACUCUUCUCCUACUCUCCCCCACGAAAAUGCAGCUCCACCUAGCUCCCAUGGCCGGCCAUGGCCAUGGAAAGAACUCCAAGAUGAAGCUCCCUCCUCCCUCAAGCUCCUCCUCACCAUGAGAGCCUCCCUCUCCUUCUUCUCCCCAACCCUAGAUGGUUUUCUCUCCUCUUCCUCUUCCUCCAUUGCUAAGAUUGGAUCUUGAUGCAGGUGCAUGUUGGUCCAAGCAUGGAGAAGCUUGAGCAAUCCUCAGAUCUGAAGUUCUUGAGCAAAAUCCAAAUCGAGUGAUUCAAAGUUCCGCGGAUAGGUAUUCAAAAGAUCUACAACUUGGCGUUGGUCUCAUCCUCAAAUUCGCUACAGAUUCUCCCUGAUGCGAACAAUUUCGGAGGAGAAGAAGAAGAAGUGGAAUCGGACAAGGAUUUUAUUUGUACUGUGGGAAUUCUUAUUUGAUGGAGUUGAAGAAGUCCAGGGACAAAUAAGCCAAG